GACCGCAUAGCUCAGUUGGAAGAGCAUUGGGCUAGUAUUCCAAAGGUCGUAGGUUCGAAUCCCACCGUGACCG
rnacentral:tRNA from 1 species